rnacentral:rRNA from 1 species
GACGAACGCUGGCGGCGUGCUUAAUACAUGCAAGUCGAACGGAAAGGCCCUGCUUUUGUGGGGUGCUCGAGUGGCGAACGGGUGAGUAACACGUGAGUAACCUGCCCUUGACUUUGGGAUAACUUCAGGAAACUGGGGCUAAUACCGGAUAGGAGCUCCUGCUGCAUGGUGGGGGUUGGAAAGUUUCGGCGGUUGGGGAUGGACUCGCGGCUUAUCAGCUUGUUGGUGGGGUAGUGGCUCACCAAGGCUUUGACGGGUAGCCGGCCUGAGAGGGUGACCGGCCACAUUGGGACUGAGAUACGGCCCAGACUCCUACGGGAGGCAGCAGUGGGGAAUAUUGCACAAUGGGCGGAAGCCUGAUGCAGCAACGCCGCGUGCGGGAUGACGGCCUUCGGGUUGUAAACCGCUUUCGCCUGUGACGAAGCGUGAGUGACGGUAAUGGGUAAAGAAGCACCGGCUAACUACGUG